CGUUGAUUCAUGAUUCCUACAAUUUCCAAAUUUCCAAAUUUCCAAAUUUCCAAAUUUCUUGAGUGAUUGUUGAUCAAGUAUUUGAGAACUUGGGAAUCAGACAGAAUGAGGAUGGAAUCGAUUUCCUGAGAAAGGACAAAGAUUAUGGCUUUUCACAUUGCCAAGGUUUCCGCCAUAAGGGGGGACGAUAUAGAUCCUGUGGUCGCAGAGAAGGGUGAGAUAGAGCCUGCAUCAUCGAAGAUCCAUCCAAGUCCUGCACUUUUCGAUGAUGAGUUCCAAGCGGCAUCAGUAAAUAGACACAGCUGAGACGCCCGAGAGAGAGGAUCCAGGCUGUUACUAGGUUGUGGUGGAGGUGGUUUUAUUGAAGGUUCUUGGAUCAGAAUCCAUUCAUGAGCUUCAGUGCUAGCAUUUGCAAUUGUUUCUUCUGGCGGGACCUCUCUCUUCUGGAAGAUGAGUUGAUUCCUCGCUAUCCAUAGGUUCCAGAUGAUCCACGACAAGAGCGUUCCAGGUCCAAUACCUGAUAGUGGUAGAGACGGAUCACUCUGACCUUUUCCAGUCCCGAGUUGGUGCUUGUGAUGAGAUCCGGGUUCAGUUCAGGCGCAAGAGAUGCCCCUUUCCAGACCUUCUUGGCAAAAGGAAAAUUAAAACGGACAUGGGAUAUGGAUUCCAUCUCAUUACAUCUCAGGCACAGAUAUUGGCAUUCUAGUCCAGGUUUGUCUAGUCCAGGUUUGUCAAAGGGUUCACACCUUCUUCAAUGGGGCUUCUGCAGCUUCUCCAUAUCCUGACCUCGUGGAGUAGUCACCCGUAGAAGACUUGAGCCAUACUAAUUCUUCAAGGGCUCCACAAAUGCUAGGCCUUAUCUUUAGGAUUUGGUGGUUGUGGAAAGGGAUGACGAGCCCUAGCUUCUCAGGGUUCCAGUAUGUGAGGAUUUGGAGCAUUAAGUCCGAGACUUUUAGGUGUUGGAAGGCUUUAGGAGCUGGCCUAUACGGUCGAACUUGCUCCGACCAUGAAAGCCAAAGAUUAUUCCAGAUGUUUAUUGAUGACCGCCCACUGACCUGCCCAAAAAAUACCUAAAUACUCUAGAUCUAUUUUUUUUUUUACUUAUUUUCAAAACUCAUAAAUUACCUUCAGAACUUUCACUUUUAUCCUCUCAUCCCAAAUCGAUUAAUCAAUCAUCAUUCUCAAAUGAUAUUUUUCAUUAAAAAUUGAAUUUCAUUUUCAGCAUACAAAUUCAUGAUAAGGAAGAAAACUGAGUAUUAGUAGUACAACUAGUACAGUUCGAACAAAUAUUACUAAUACAUCUAAAACGCGUAUAACUAGUAUGAAUAGUACAACUAGAACGCAUAUAACUUGAA